GCUUGCACUGGGGAUUAGUGGCGAACGGGUGAGUAACACGUGAGUAACCUGCCCUUGACUCUGGGAUAAGCCUGGGAAACUGGGUCUAAUACCGGAUAUGACUCCUCAUCGCAUGGUGGGGGGUGGAAAGCUUUUGUGGUUUUGGAUGGACUCGCGGCCUAUCAGCUUGUUGGUGGGGUAAUGGCCUACCAAGGCGACGACGGGUAGCCGGCCUGAGAGGGUGACCGGCCACACUGGGACUGAGACACGGCCCAGACUCCUACGGGAGGCAGCAGUGGGGAAUAUUGCACAAUGGGCGCAAGCCUGAUGCAGCGACGCCGCGUGAGGGAUGACGGCCUUCGGGUUGUAAACCUCUUUCAGUAGGGAAGAAGCCGUAAGGUGACGGUACCUGCAGAAGAAGCGCCGGCUAACUACGUGCCAGCAGCCGCGGUAAUACGUAGGGCGCAAGCGUUAUCCGGAAUUAUUGGGCGUAAAGAGCUCGUAGGCGGUUUGUCGCGUCUGCUGUGAAAGACCGGGGCUCAACUCCGGUUCUGCAGUGGGUACCGGCAGACUA
rnacentral:rRNA from 1 species